UACGUAGGGCGCGAGCGUUGUCCGGAAUUAUUGGGCGUAAAGAGCUCGUAGGCGGCCUGUUGCGUCCGCUGUGAAAUCCCAAGGCUUAACCUUGGGCUUGCAGUGGAUACGGGCAGACUAGAGGUAGGUAGGGGAGAAUGGAAUUCCCGGUGUAGCGGUGAAAUGCGCAGAUAUCGGGAGGAACACCGGUGGCGAAGGCGGUUCUCUGGGCCUUACCUGACACUGAGGAGCGAAAGCGUGGGGAGCGAACAGG
rnacentral:rRNA from 1 species